AACACAUGCAAGUCGAACGAACCUUCGGGUCAGUGGCGGACGGGUGAGUAACGCGUGGGAACCUGCCCUCAGGAGGGGGAUAACGGUUGGAAACGGCCGCUAAUACCCCAUAUGCCGAGAGGUGAAAUGAAUUUCGCCUGAGGAUGGGCCCGCGUCUGAUUAGCUAGUUGGUGGGGUAAGAGCCUACCAAGGCGACGAUCAGUAGCUGGUCUGAGAGGAUGAUCAGCCACACUGGGACUGAGACACGGCCCAGACUCCUACGGGAGGCAGCAGUGGGGAAUUUUCCGCAAUGGGCGAAAGCCUGACGGAGCAACGCCGCGUGAGGGAUGAAGGCCUCUGGGCUGUAAACCUCUUUUCUCAAGGAAGAAGACCUGACGGUACUUGAGGAAUAAGCCACGGCUAAUUCCGUGCCAGCAGCCGCGGUAAUACGGGAGUGGCAAGCGUUAUCCGGAAUUAUUGGGCGUAAAGCGUCCGCAGGUGGCCCUGUAAGUCUGUCGUUAAAGCGUGGAGCUUAACUCCAUUUAAGCGAUGGAAACUACAGGGCUAGAGUGUGGUAGGGGCAGAGGGAAUUCCCGGUGUAGCGGUGAAAUGCGUAGAUAUCGGGAAGAACACCAGUGGCGAAGGCGCUCUGCUGGGCCAUCACUGACACUCAUGGACGAAAGCCAGGGGAGCGAAAGGGAUUAGAUACCCCUGUAGUCCUGGCCGUAAACGAUGAACACUAGGUGUCGGGGGAAUCGACCCCCUCGGUGUCGUAGCCAACGCGUUAAGUAUUCCGCCUGGGGAGUACGCACGCAAGUGUGAAACUCAAAGGAAUUGACGGGGGCCCGCACAAGCGGUGGAGUAUGUGGUUUAAUUCGAUGCAACGCGAAGAACCUUACCAGGGUUUGACAUCCUGCGAAUCCCUUGGAAACGAGGGAGUGCCUUCGGGAGCGCAGAGACAGGUGGUGCAUGGCUGUCGUCAGCUCGUGUCGUGAGAUGUUGGGUUAAGUCCCGCAACGAGCGCAACCCACGUCGUUAGUUGCCAGCAUUCAGUUGGGCACUCUAGCGAGACCGCCGGUGAUAAACCGGAGGAAGGUGUGGAUGACGUCAAGUCAUCAUGCCCCUUACAUCCUGGGCUACACACGUACUACAAUGCUACGGACAAAGGGCAGCGAUCCCGCGAGGGCUAGCAAAUCCCAUAAACCGUGGCUCAGUUCAGAUCGUAGGCUGCAACUCGCCUACGUGAAGGAGGAAUCGCUAGUAAUCGCAGGUCAGCAUACUGCGGUGAAUACGUUCCCGGGCCUUGUACACACCGCCCGUCAC
rnacentral:rRNA from 1 species